UGUGUCUCCGUCUUUAGUAAGCUUCAGAGAGAAGUGCUCUAGAGACAGUGGUAGCAACAAGGGCGUUAAGGAAGUCCUCAUCUGAAUACUCAGAAGAAGGGAUCUUUGUACAAGAUUGCAAGACUUUGACUCAGAAAUCUCUCUAAUUCCUUGGAGACACCUUCCUUCUGCUUGCCCUAGCCUCCUGGACAGAGAGCCCUCAUCCAGUGGCUGAUGGAAGCAGAGACAGACAUCCACAGAUAUACACUGAGCUGAAAUCAGGAAUUUAGUUGAAGAGAGGAAGGAAUGAAGAGUGAAGGGGUCUGUUCCAGGUUGGAGAAACCUACAGGAACAAUUGGCCUGAACAAGGGAGAGUACAUUGAGCCCAGAUGCUGUGUGGGAAGCCAGUACAAGACUGAUCCAGACCCCUAAACAUGGAUGUCAAUAAGGAGGCCUCUGCACUCCAGGGAGCCUCUGGAAGUGGAUUAGCAUUUUUCCCUGGUGCAAGAAGGGACUUUGAGAGCCCAUCCCACAUGAAGGGAUACACUCUGGCCCUAGACACAUGGGGAAGGGCCCAGGCCCAGUACAGGAAGAUUUGGUGGACUUUGCAGAGCCCCCAUUGAGGGCCCUACCCUGCCUGGGGAGUGGUGGGUGG
rnacentral:lncRNA from 1 species